CACGCGUACCCAUCCCGAACACGACCGUUAAGCCCUCCAGCGCCGAUGGUACUUGGACCGAAGGGUCCUGGGAGAGUAGGACGCCGCCAAGC
rnacentral:rRNA from 1 species